CGAUGGGGGGGUGUAGGCGGUACGAUGGGGGGUGCAGGCGGUACGAUGGGGGGGCCGGUCACACAGCUCAGACCCAGGAAACUGCAAACCCAGGCGUCCGACCGAGCCCUGCUCUUUCCAAGAUGCCCUUGCUCCUCCUCCAGCUGCACAAACCCCAACCGCAGACCAGCGUGUUGGCCAGUUCCUGGGCCCACAGGCCUAUGCGGC
rnacentral:lncRNA from 1 species